GACGAACGCUGGCGGCGUGCUUAACACAUGCAAGUCGAACGGAAAGGCCUGCUUUCCCUUGUGGAUUGCGGGUACUCGAGUGGCGAACGGGUGAGUAACACGUGAGUGAUCUGCCCCCAACUUGGGUAUAAGCCUGGGAAACUGGGUCUAAUUCCCGAUAGGACUGCAGGGUGGUGCCUGUGGUGGAAAACGAUUUUCUAGUGGUUGGGGAUGAGCUCGCGGCCUAUCAGCUUGUUGGUGGGGUAAUGGCCUACCAAGGCGGCGACGGGUAGCCGGCCUGGGAGGGUGGACGGCCACAGUGGGACGGAGAUACGGCCCAGACGCCUACGGGAGGCAGCAGUGGGGAAUAUUGCACAAUGGGCGGAAGCCUGAUGCAGCGACGCCGCGUGGGGGAUGACGGCCUUCGGGUUGUAAACUCCUUUCGACCGCGAGGAAGCCACCUGGUUGGAAGGGUGGUGACGGUAGUGGUAGAAGAAGCACCGGCUAACUACGUG
rnacentral:rRNA from 1 species